rnacentral:misc_RNA from 1 species
GAACGCACAUUGCACCCGGUGGUAUUCCGCCGGGUAUGCCUGUUCGAGCGUCAUUUCCACCCUCAGGCUCCCCCCGUCAAAGGGAGCGAGCCUGGUGUUGGGGAUCUACGGGCCCUUCUGGCGCCCGUAGCCCCCUAAAUUCAUCGGCGUGCGCGCUGUACGUUGCCCCCUGCGUAGUAGUGAUUUCUCGCAUCGGGCCGUCGCACUGUCCAGCCGCUAAACUGCAUCUAUGCAUUUAGCUAGGUUUGACCUCGAAUCAGGUAGGGUUACCCGCUGAACUUAAG